rnacentral:rRNA from 1 species
GCCAAAUAGCUAGCUUAAUUAACAAUUAUAAAUUACAUCAUUAAAUAAAACUAAUCAUAAAAUUUUACUAAAACAUUUUUCAGCCUUAGUAUUGGCGACAGAAAAGGCUUAUCUUUAAGCAAUAAAAAGUACCGUAAGGGAAAGCUGAAAAGAAAUGAAAAAACCCAUCUAAGCAUAAAAUAGCAGAGACUUACCCUCGUACCUUUUGCAUCAUGAUUUAGCUAGACACCCCGAGCAAAGAGAGCUUUAGUUCGAUACCCCGAAACCAAGUGAGCUACCCCGAGACAGCCUAUUAUAGGGCCAACCCGUCUCUGUGGCAAAAGAGUGGGAAGAUCCCCGGGUAGUGGUGAUAAACCUACCGAACUUGGUGAUAGCUGGUUGCCUAGGAAAUGGAUAAAAGUUCAGCCUCGUUUUCCUCCACUCCCACCUAAGCACUGCCACUUUAAGAAUCUGAGAAAUAUACGAGAGUUAGUCAAAGGAGGUACAGCCCCUUUGAAUUAGGAUACAACCUAACACAGGAGGUUAAAGAUCAUAUUUUUUAAAACAAACUGCUAUAGUGGGCUUAAAAGCAGCCACCUAAUUAGAAAGCGUUAAAGCUCUGGUAAAACCAUAAACUUUAUUAUUUUGAUAUAUUAAUCCUAAACCCCUACUUAUACUAGGCUUUUCUAUGCCCUCAUAGAAGAAAUACUGCUAAAAUGAGUAACAAGAAGAUAACUUCUUCUCCAACAACCUUUGUGUAUGUUAGAUUGGACCAACCACUAACAAUUAACGAACUCAACUAAGAGAGAAAAGUGGUUAAAAAAAAAAUCAAGAAAUUAUCACUAAUUUAUUAUCGUUAACCUUACACAAGAAGGUUAUUUAUAAGGAAAGGCAAUAUGGGAAGAAAGGAACUCGGCAAACACAAGCCUCGCCUGUUUACCAAAAACAUCGCCCCCUGCAAACAUCAAUGUAUAGGAGGUCCUACCUGCCCAGUGACACUAAGUUAAACGGCCGCGGUAUCCUGACCGUGCUAAGGUAGCGCAAUCACUUGUCUUUUAAAUGAGGACCUGUAUGAAUGGUGGAACGAGGGCUUAACUGUCUCCCUUCUCUAGCCAGUGAAAUUGAUUUACCCGUGCAGAAGCGGGUAUUCUAAUACAAGACGAGAAGACCCUUUGGAGCUUAAGACAUAAGAUCAACUAAGUCAAGAUAUUUUUUAAUAAAUAAAAAACAAAAUUAGCAUAUUUGAUCACAGUCUUCGGUUGGGGCGACCGAGGGGGAAAACAUAGCCCCCAUGAAGAUUGGAAAAACUCUAAAACCAAGAGAGACAUCUCUAAGUCACAGAAUAUCUGACUAAAAGAUCCGAUAUAUUAUCGAUCAACGAACCAAGUUACCCUAGGGAUAACAGCGCAAUCCCCUUCAAGAGUUCAUAUCGACAAGGGGGUUUACGACCUCGAUGUUGGAUCAGGACAUCCUAAUGGUGCAGCCGCUAUUAAGGGUUCGUUUGUUCAACGAUUAAAGUCCUACGUGAUCUGAGUUCAGACCGGAGUAAUCCAGGUCAGUUUCUAUCUGUAAUAAUCACUUCUUCUAGUACGAAAGGACCGAAAAAGUAAAGCCUAUGCUAUAAGUACGCUUUCCUUCUACUUGCUGAAAUCAACUAAAUUAAACAAAGAAGGGUAUAAUACAAACCCAAGAUAAGGGUAU